rnacentral:rRNA from 1 species
UACGAAGGGGGCUAGCGUUGCUCGGAAUCACUGGGCGUAAAGGGUGCGUAGGCGGGUCUUUAAGUCAGGGGUGAAAUCCUGGAGCUCAACUCCAGAACUGCCUUUGAUACUGAGGAUCUUGAGUUCGGGAGAGGUGAGUGGAACUGCGAGUGUAGAGGUGAAAUUCGUAGAUAUUCGCAAGAACACCAGUGGCGAAGGCGGGUUGCUGGGCUGACACUGACGCUGAAGCGCGAAAGCUAGGGGAGCGAACGGG